AACGAACGCUGGCGGCAGGCCUAACACAUGCAAGUCGAGCGCGCCCUUCGGGUGAGCGGCGGACGGGUUAGUAACGCGUGGGAAUAUGCCCAAAGGUACGGAAUAGCCUCUGGAAACGGAGAGUAAUACCCUAUGUGCCCUUCGGGGAAAGAUUUAUCGCCUUUGGAUUAGCCCGCGUUAGAUUAGGUAGUUGGUGGGUAAUGGCCUACCAAGCCUACGAUCCAUAGCUGGUUUGAGAGGAUGGAUCAGCAACACUGGGACUGAGACACGGCCCAGACUCCUACGGGAGGCAGCAGUGGGAAUCUUGGACAAUGGGCGCAAGCCUGAUCCAGCCAUGCCGCGUGAGUGAUGAAGCCCUAGGGUCUAAAGCUCUUCGCCAGGGAUGAUAAUGACAGUACCUGGUAAAGAACCCCGGCU
rnacentral:rRNA from 1 species